UACGUAGGGUGCGAGCGUUGUCCGGAAUUACUGGGCGUAAAGAGCUCGUAGGUGGUUUGUCGCGUUGUUCGUGAAAACCGGGGGCUUAACCCUCGGCGUGCGGGCGAUACGGGCAGACUUGAGUACUGCAGGGGAGACGGGAAUUCCUGGUGUAGCGGUGGAAUGCGCAGAUAUCAGGAGGAACACCGGUGGCGAAGGCGGGUCUCUGGGCAGUAACUGACGCUGAGGAGCGAAAGCGUGGGGAGCGAACAGG
rnacentral:rRNA from 1 species